rnacentral:lncRNA from 1 species
GUUUAAUUGCUCUAAAUAGGAUGAGCCAAAUUUUCACACAUACAUAAUUUGUGACUAUAGAUUACAAAUGUUCUUCCUCAAAUUCCAGGUUUCCUUGGCAUUUACACAGGUGUAUGCAGAAUGAAAGUGGGAUUUAAGUUUUUGUAUUGGCACCCCAGUCAGGAGUAAAUUUCACCUAUUGGUUAUCAGGACUUUGUGACUCAUUCACACCUCAUGCAUGGAUCAAGCCAAAAGUAUUUUUCAAGAAACACAGAAGACACUGAAUUCAUUGCUUAUCUAAGGAGAAAUGUCAGUCAAAGACAGGAGGGAGGAGAGAGUGCAUACAUGCAUGAAAGCACAACACGAGG